AUUGAACGCUGGCGGCAUGCUUUACACAUGCAAGUCGAACGGCAGCACGGGAGCUUGCUCCUGGUGGCGAGUGGCGAACGGGUGAGUAAUGCAUCGGAACGUACCCAGUAGUGGGGGAUAGCCCGGCGAAAGCCGGAUUAAUACCGCAUAUUUCCUGAGGGAGAAAGCGGGGGACCUUCGGGCCUCGCGCUACUGGAGCGGCUGAUGUCGGAUUAGCUAGUUGGUGAGGUAAAGGCGUCACCAAGGCGACGAUCCCGUAGCUGGUCUGAGAGGAUGAUCAGCCACACUGGGACUGAGACACGGCCCAGACUCCUACGGGAGGCAGCAGUGGGGAAUUUUGGACAAUGGGGGCAACCCUGAUCCAGCCAUGCCGCGUGAGUGAAGAAGGCCUCGGUUGUAAGUACGUACUUUCUACGGUAGGUAAGAAAGUACAAC
rnacentral:rRNA from 1 species